UACGUAGGGGGCAAGCGUUGUCCGGAUUUAUUGGGCGUAAAGAGCGUGUAGGCGGCCAAACAGGUCAGCUGUGAAACUCGAGGCUCAACCUCGAGACGUCGGUUGAAACCGUUUGGCUAGAGUCCGGAAGAGGAGAGUGGAAUUCCCGGUGUAGCGGUGAAAUGACGCAGAUAUCGGGAAGAACACCCGUGGCGAAGGCGGCUCUCUGGGACGGUACUGACGCUGAGACGGCGAAAGCGUGGGGAGCGAACAGG
rnacentral:rRNA from 1 species